rnacentral:rRNA from 1 species
UGUAUCAAGUUUUAAAGAGCACACGGUGGAUGCCUUGGCAAUAGGAGCCGAAGAAGGACGUAGAAAUCUGCGAUAAGCCUCGGGGAGUCGAUAAUCAGACUUUGAUCCGAGGAUUUCCGAAUGGGGAAACCCAGCCAGACUCGAUCUGGUUACUCCCGUCUGAAUGUAUAGGACGGGUAGAGGGAACGUGGGGAAGUGAAACAUCUCAGUACCCACAGGAAGAGAAAACAACAGUGAUUCCGUAAGUAGUGGCGAGCGAACGCGGAAGAGGCUAAACCAAGCAUGUGUGAUAUCCGGCAGGAGUUGCAUGUUUGGGGUUGCGGGACUUUUCAGAAGGUCUGCCGACCUUCAAGAGUAUGUUAUUCAUAUAGACGAAUGGUCUUGAACGGCCAGUCAUAGAGGGUGCGAACCCCGUAGUCGAAAUGUGAAUGCAGCUCGAGAAGUAUCCCAAGUAGCACGGAACCCGUGAAAUUCUGUGUGAAUCAGCGAGGACCACCUCGUAAGCCUAAAUACUACCUAUUGACCGAUAGCGGACAAGUACCGUGAGGGAAAGGUGAAAAGUACCGCGGGAGCGGAGUGAAAUAGUACCUGAAACCGUGUGCUUACAAUCCGUCGGAGCCAGCUUGUUCUGGUGACGGCGUGCCUUUUGAAGAAUGAUCCUGAGAGUUAGUGAUCUGUGGCAAGCUUAACCCGCGAGGGGGAGGCGUAGCGAAAGCGAGUCUGAAUAGGGCGCUUUAGUCGCAGGUUCUAGACCCGAAGCGAGGUGAUCUACCCAUGGCCAGGUUGAAGCGAAGGUAAGACUUCGUGGAGGACCGAACCCACUUCAGUUGAAAAUGGAGGGGAUGAGCUGUGGGUAGGGGUGAAAGGCCAAUCAAACCUCGUGAUAGCUGGUUCUCUCCGAAAUGCAUUUAGGUGCAGCGUCAUGUGUUUCUCUCUGGAGGUAGAGCUACUGGAUGACCGAUGGGCCCUACAAGGUUACUGACGUCAGCCAAACUCCGAAUGCCAGAGAGUUAGAGCAUGGCAGUGAGACUGCGGGGGAUAAGCUUCGUAGUCGAAAGGGAAACAGCCCAGACCACCAACUAAGGUCCCAAAGCGCUUGCUAAGUGGGAAAGGAUGUGGAGUUGCAGAGACAACCAGGAUGUUGGCUUAGAAGCAGCCACCAUUUAAAGAGUGCGUAACAGCUCACUGGUCAAGUGAUUCCGCGCCGACAAUAUAACGGGGCUCAAGCAAGUCACCGAAGUUGUGGCAUUUAUACAUUGCUAGGCCGUAAGGUCCAGGCGUAUAGAUGGGUAGGAGAGCGUCGUGUGGCGAGUGAAGCGGCGGGGUGACCCAGCCGUGGACGCCACACGAGUGAGAAUUCAGGAAUGAGUAGCGAAAUGCGGGUGAGAAACCCGCACUCCGGAAGACUAAGGGUUCCAGGGCCAGGCUAAUCCGCCCUGGGUAAGUCGGGACCUAAGGCGAGGCCGACAGGCGUAGUCGAUGGACAACGGGUUGAUAUUCCCGUACCGGCGAAGAACCGCCCAAACUAAUCCAGUAAUGCUAAGUAGCUGAAACUAUCUGUUGAGACCUUCGGGUUGAUCUGGAUAGCGGAGCCUACGACCCUAUGCUGGUGCGGUUAGCGUAUUAACAGGUGUGACGCAGGAAGGUAGCCUCCGCGGGGCGAUGGUUGUCCCCGUUUAAGGACGUAGGGCGAGAGAUAGGCAAAUCCGUCUCUCAUUAAGCCUGAGAUCUGAUGAUGAGUCCGCAAGGACGAAGUGGGUGAUCCUAUGCUGCCAAGAAAAGCAUCGACGUGAGGUUCAAGCUGCCCGUACCCCAAACCGACUCAGGUAGUCAGGUAGAGAAUACUAAGGAGAUCGAGAGAAUCGCGGUUAAGGAACUCGGCAAAAUGCCCCCGUAACUUCGGGAGAAGGGGGGCCUGAGGCGUGUAUGGAUUUACUCCAGAAGCGCUGUAUGGCCGCAGAGACCAGUGAGUAGCGACUGUUUAUCAAAAACACAGGUCCGUGCGAAGUUGCAAAACGAUGUAUACGGACUGACUCCUGCCCGGUGCUGGAAGGUUAAGAGGACUGGUUAGCAGUAAUGCAAAGCUAGGAAUUUAAGCCCCAGUAAACGGCGGUGGUAACUAUAACCAUCCUAAGGUAGCGAAAUUCCUUGUCGGGUAAGUUCCGACCUGCACGAAUGGAGUAACGACUUCUCAGCUGUCUCAACCGCGAACUCGGCGAAAUUGCACUAUGAGUGAAGAUGCUCAUUACGCGCAGAAGGACGAAAAGACCCCGUGACCUUUACUAUAGCUUGGUAUUGGUGUUCGGUGUGGCUUAUGUAGGAUAGGUGGGAGACUGUGAAGCUUGAACGCUAGUUCAGGUGGAGUCAUUGUUGAAAUACCACUUUUGUCACCCUGGAUAUCUAACCACGAACCGUAAUCCGGUUCUGGGACAGUGCCUGGUGGGUAGUUUAACUGGGGCGGUUGCCUCCUAAAAAGUAACGGAGGCGCCCAAAGGUUCCCUCAGCCUGGUUGGUAAUCAGGUGUCGAGUGUAAGUGCACAAGGGAGCUUGACUGUGAGACUGACAAGUCGAGCAGGGACGAAAGUCGGGACUAGUGAUCCGGCAGUGGCUUGUGGAAGCGCUGUCGCUCAACGGAUAAAAGGUACCUCGGGGAUAACAGGCUGAUCUUGCCCAAGAGUCCAUAUCGACGGCAUGGUUUGGCACCUCGAUGUCGGCUCGUCGCAUCCUGGGGCUGUAGUAGGUCCCAAGGGUUGGGCUGUUCGCCCAUUAAAGCGGCACGCGAGCUGGGUUCAGAACGUCGUGAGACAGUUCGGUCUCUAUCCUCUGCGCGCGCAGGAAAUUUGAGAAAACCUGACCCUAGUACGAGAGGACCGGGUUGGACAAACCUCUGGUGUGUCAGUUGUACUGCCAAGUGCACCGCUGAUUAGCUACGUUUGGGAGGGAUAACCGCUGAAAGCAUCUAAGCGGGAAGCCUGUUUCAAGAUGAGAUUUCCAUGACUUAGGUCGAGAGGGCCGCAGCUAGAUUACUGCGUUGAUAGGCGGGAUGUGGAAGUGUCGAAAGGCAUGGAGCUGACCCGUACUAAUAGCCCGAUAACUUGAUACAA